AUUGAACGCUGGCGGCAGGCUUAACACAUGCAAGUCGAGCGGAGUGAUGGUGCUUGCACUAUCACUUUGCGGCGGACGGGUGAGUAAUGCUUAGGAAUCUGCCUAUUAGUGGGGGACAACAUCUCGAAAGGGAUACUAAUACCGCAUACGUCCUACGGGAGAAAGCAGGGGAUCACUGGUGACCUUGCGCUAAUAGAUGAGCCUAAGUCGGAUUAGCUAGUUGGUGGGGUAAAGGCCUACCAAGGCGACGAUCUGUAGCGGGUCUGGGAGGAUGAGCCGCCACACUGGGACUGAGACACGGCCCAGACUCCUACGGGAGGCAGCAGUGGGGAAUAUUGGACAAUGGGCGCAAGCCUGAUCCAGCCAUGCCGCGUGUGUGAAGAAGGCCUUAUGGUUGUAAAGCACUUUAAGCGAGGAGGAGGCUACUUUAGUUAAUACCUAGAGAUAGUGGACGUUACUCGCAGAAUAAGCACCGGCUAACCCUGUGCCAGCCGCCGCCGUAA
rnacentral:rRNA from 1 species